AUUGAACGCUGGCGGCAUUCCUAACACAUGCAAGUCGAGCGAGCGGCGGACGGGUGAGUAAUGUCUGGGAAACUGCCUGAUGGCGUGGGAUAACUCCUGGAAACGGUAGCUAAUACCGCAUACAAUCAGAUAUGCCCAGAUGGGAUUAGCUAGUAGGUGGGGUAACGGCCCACCUAGGCGACGAUCCCUAGCUGGCCUGCGAGGAUGACCAGCCACACUGGAACUGAGACACGGUCCAGACUCCUACGGGAGGCAGCAGUGGGGAAUAUUGCGCAAUGGGCGCAAGCCUUAUGCAGCCAUGCCGCGUGUGUGAAGAAGGCCUUCGGGUUGUAAAGCACUUUCAGCGGGGAGGCGUUACCCGCAGAAGAAGCACCGGCUAACUCCGUGCCAGCCGCCGCGGUAAUAC
rnacentral:rRNA from 1 species